rnacentral:rRNA from 1 species
GUCCACGCUGUAAACGAUGUCAACUAGCCGUUGGGUCUCUUAGAGACUUAGUGGCGCAGCUAACGCAUUAAGUUGACCGCCUGGGGAGUACGGCCGCAAGGUUAAAACUCAAAUGAAUUGACGGGGGCCCGCACAAGCGGUGGAGCAUGUGGUUUAAUUCGAUGCAACGCGAAGAACCUUACCUACCCUUGACAUCCAGAGAAUCUGUUAGAGAUAGUAGAGUGCCUUCGGGAACUCUGAGACAGGUGCUGCAUGGCUGUCGU